rnacentral:rRNA from 1 species
UGAGUAACCUGCCCUUCACUCUGGGAUAACUCCGGGGAAACCGGGGCUAAUACUGGAUAUGACUCGAACAGGCAUCUGUUUCGGGUGGAAAGAUUUAUUGGUGGAGGAUGGACUCGCGGCCUAUCAGCUUGUUGGUGAGGUAAUGGCUCACCAAGGCGACGACGGGUAGCCGGCCUGAGAGGGCGAUCGGCCACACUGGGACUGAGACACGGCCCAGACUCCUACGGGAGCA